rnacentral:rRNA from 1 species
CCUACGGGAGGCAGCAGUGAGGAAUAUUGGUCAAUGGGCGCGAGCCUGAACCAGCCAAGUAGCGUGAAGGAUGACUGCCCUACGGGUUGUAAACUUCUUUUAGAAAGGAAUAAAGUGAGGCACGUGUGCCUUUUUGUAUGGACUUUAUGAAUAAGGAUCGGCUAACUCCGUGCCAGCAGCCGCGGUAAUACGGAGGAUCCGGGCGUUAUCCGGAUUUAUUUGGUUUAAAGGGGGCGCAGAUGGGUUGUUAAGUCAGUUGUGAAAGUUUGCGGCUCAACCGUAAAAUUGCAAUUGAUACUGGCAGUCUUGAGUACAGUUGAGGUAUGCGGAAUUCGUGGUGUAGCGGUGAAAUGCUGAGAGAUCACGAAGAACUCCGAUUGCGAAGGCAGCUUACUAAACUGCCACUGACAUUGAUGCUCGAAAGUGUGGGUAUCAAACAGGAUUAGAUACCCUUGUAGUC